UUAAUUUCAUUAGAGGAGGGACUGUCACGUGUGACCUGCCCCGUGAUGUGAUUGGUGUACAGACAGACAUUUUGUUUCCAAUCUCCCAACAGAGGGAGCUGGCAUCAGCUCUUCAGACAGCAGGUAACAAAGCUGUGACAUAUUAUGAAUUAAACUCUGUGUAUGGUCAUGACACAUUUCUGCUGGACUUAAAUGGCGUAGGUGCCGGUGUUAAGGGCUUUAUUGAAACAAGGACAUCAAAAAAUGGCUUGGCAUCAAUACCAGGUUCUGAGGCAACGAUACCAGAUUCUGAGAGGAAGUGCUAUUAAGACGGCUUCUUACAGCAUCACAAUAUAUGCAAAAACGUUGUGAAUAUAAGUGAUUACAUUUGUAUAAAAAAAAAGAUAUGCAAAUUUUGAACAUGUUUAUUUAGCCUUUUGAGCACUUGUGUAAAAUAAGUAUUAUUAUAUAGACAUACAUGUAUUUAUUGAAACCCUAUGAGCAGUUAAUGAGACAUUUUUCACAUUAUAUGUACUAUACAAAAACUGUUUUGUUUGUAUUUACAGAUGUAUCAGUGCGAUGACUCUGUGAAUAUGUAAUAUGUAAAUGAGUUUUAAUUAGUAAUAAUUACUGAGUGAUAAUGAAAAUAUUAUAAAUGCCAAAUGAAUGCAUUUUAAAAAAAUAUAUAUACACUAAGAUGUACUGGGUUGGUGAUCACACAGAAGAUUGUAAAAAGCACUGGUAACCAUAUGACCAUAACUUUUAUUAUAAUACAUAAAAUAUACUGGAUUACCCUUCUAUAGUAUAAAUAUAUCUUUAAUACCCUUAACCUGCUGAAUUUCCAAAAUGGACUUUUCCAAUUUCCAUUUUGGAACAGUCCAUUAUCUAUUUUAGGUAUAUCAAGGUGAGAAUUUGAAGUUGGCCAGCCAACUGUAUAGAGCCUGGUCAGACUGCAGGAUGUGCAGGCUGGCCUGGCUCUAUACUGGUGGCAAAGGCUAAUCACUGUUGCCUUCAGCAGGGUAAAGGUUAAGUGCUUUUUGUGUACUGGUCUGACUACACUGUGAUACUGUUUAAGUUACUUUAAUUACUAAUAGAAAAGAUUUAUGUAUGCUAGUUUAAAUGAGGGUCCAUCGGUCCUCUCUGGCACUAAGAGUAUGCGCCCCUUAUAAGAACAGAAACGUUAUUUUAUGUAUAUAUACACACAGUAGGGCAACAAAAAGACUAUGUUUACAAUGAUAUUUAUUCUAUAUUAUUUUCAUAUCAAAAAUAUAGUUGUAUAAAUAGCAGCUUCACAAAUAACUUUUUUC